rnacentral:rRNA from 1 species
CACGUAGGGUGCGAGCGUUGUCCGGAAUUAUUGGGCGUAAAGAGCUCGUAGGCGGUGUGUCACGUCGGCCGUGAAAACCUGCAGCUUAACUGUGGGCGUGCGGUCGAUACGGGCAUCACUGGAGUUCGGCAGGGGAGACUGGAAUUCCUGGUGUAGCGGUGAAAUGCGUAGAUAUCGAGAGGAACACCUGCGGCGAAGGCGGGUUGCUGGGCCGACACUGACGCUGAUGCGCGAAAGCCAGGGGAGCGAACGGG